rnacentral:rRNA from 1 species
AUUGAACGCUGGCGGCAGGCCUAACACAUGCAAGUCGAACGGCAGCGGGGGGAAGCUUGCUUCCCCGCCGGCGAGUGGCGGACGGGUGAGUAAUGCCUGGGGAGCUGCCCAAUCGAGGGGGAUACCAGUUGGAAACGACUGCUAAUAUCGCAUACGCCCUGAGGGGGGAAGGUGGGGAUCUUCGGACCUAUCGCGAUUGGAUGCACCCAGGUGGGAUUAGCUAGUUGGUGAGGUAACGGCUCACCAAGGCGACGAUCUCUAGCUGGUCUGGGAGGAUGACCAGCCACGCUGGAACUGAGACACGGUCCAGACUCCUACGGGAGGCAGGAGUGGGGAAUAUUGCACAAUGGGGGAAACCCUGAUGCAGCCGUGCCGCGUGUGUGAAGAAGGCCUUCGGAUUGUAAAGCACUUUCAGCGAGGAGGAAAGGUUGGCAGCUAAUACCUGUCAGCUGUGACGUCACUCGCAGAAGAAGCACCGGCUAACUCCGUGCCAGCAGCCGCGGUAAUAC